rnacentral:lncRNA from 1 species
GGCAGUUCCUAAUUCCUGUACCUCCAGGGUGUAGGCUGCUGCACACAGAACGUAUGAUUUGCUUUGAAUAAACAGGGCCACUCCUCCCUCAGUGAAUGUUUGCUGGAGGAGGGACCCCCUUGGCCUCCCUGGACUCCCCUGGAGUCUUAGCAAAGACAAGAAGUCUGAAGAUGAGAGGAGGGGGCAGGAGGGAGGUCGUCAAGCAGGGAGAAAGUUCUAGAGGGAGCUUCGCCAGUCUCCUGAAGAUGAGAGGUCAUCGAGCAGGGAGAAAGUUCAAGAGGGAGCUUCGCCAGUCUCCUGUGCGGUGGGCGUUUCUAAGAAAUGGCAUCAUGCAGAUGACUCUGUAACCAUUCUCUAUCUAAUGCUGUAUUGUGGACACCUUUCCUUGUGAAAAUAAUGGAGACCCACGCCAUUGCUUUUAGUGGCUGAUCAUAUUCCAUUCAAUGGUUGUGUCACCCCUGGAGCCUCCAGAAUGAGAUGGAGAAGGAAUUAAAUCCCAGAUCCGCUGUCCAUGUGGCCUUGAGCAAA